UUCCUACUUUCAUUCUUUUCUCUUUCCUUGGCUACUCUUCGCUCGGGACUUGCUACUGGGGUUCUCUCCAUGUUGGUCACAAGCCUCUUCUGUAUUUGCACAUUUCUUUUCCCAUUCCAAUAUUUCGGUGAAGUCUUUAGGAUAUCUUUUUUCGAGCGAGAAGAGGAGGUCAUUCUUGAGCAGUCUAGCUUUAAGUGCUAUCAUGGCCACCAACUAG
rnacentral:lncRNA from 1 species